UUUCCUCGUAGUAUAUAGAAAUUGUGUAAUUUCACCGAUCUGUUAUAGAAAUCGGUAUGUACGUAAAUGCACAUUAUUAUACUGGUAUAGUAUCAGCGUAACGAUCGCGUAAUACGCACUUCGAGAGCGCCUUUUUCAAAUGUGCCUGCAUUUUAUGAAUACAUUGACUCUUGCGACUUGAUUACACGCUACGUUAUAUACACAAGCGCUGCGUUGACACUAACACGUCCCUCUCUCUUUCAUCGAUAUCUCGCGUACAAGCGCAGCGUUGACAAAGUUCAAGGGAAGAGGGAGAGAGCUCGAACGAGAGACGCGAUGAGAGCGUGUGUGUGUGAAAUAUUCGUUUGUAUUCGAUCUAGUUUCAUUCUUAUUCGCGGUUAAGGUAUCGGUGCAUGUAUAGUUUGUUUUUAAUUGCCGGUCAAAGUUUACGUAACUUUUUGAGUGCGAAAGGUUGUUUUUUAGAGGAAAUAUCAACGACCUGAACCGAGAAUUCUUGAGAUGGUCAGCCUCGGAAUGAAUGGGAAGAGAAUUUGAAGAUAGGAGCCGGACGUAUGAGGAAAUCGUUUUAAAAUUAGCUGUUAUGUAAGGGUUAGAAAAUGGAAAAUUUUUGAAAGGUUUAACGGCAUUUAGAGAAUGUAAUAUUUACAAUUUACAAAAUUUUACAAUUUGAAAAAAUCUUUAUGAAAAUGAUUAUCAUGAUUGAAACUGCGAUGUUUUCAAAUCGAUUGUUUUGUACCUUUGCCUUUGAACAACGGCAACCGAAAAAAGUGUCGCAAAGCACAUAUUCGUCAUAUUCGCACAUAGUCGCAAAGUACCCGCGACAUAGGAUUCGGAAAAAAGCUCCAGUGACGAAUCGAAUUUUAGAUCGAAAAUAUGACCGAUCACGGGCACAGCGCAUCAUCAUGAAACGGAACUGAGUUGCGUGCCUCGAGAAGCUUCUAUAGAUCAUCGUUUACGGAGAAACGUGUGAAUGUACCGAAAAAAGGCGAAACGAAAGAUUAUACCACCACACGUGAAUAAAUUUAAAUCAACGGAACAAACAUACUAACCGAUUUUUUGCUGCAUUCGAAUGACUGUCUUAAAAUUUUAUUUUCCAUAUAUCUAUAUCAGCCAUCAGCGGGUCAUGUUUUUUUUUUGCGCGCGCGCAUGUUUUACGACGAUUUUGAAGACAGUCAGGUGUAGGUAGGGUAUAUCGGUUGAAGCAUCAUAGAAUGCACUCACUCAAUAAGUUCGGUAAAGUUAUAAUAAUUAUUACAAGAUCGCGGUAAACACGAAAAGUAUAUUCAUGGUCUUCAAUUAGCGCGAGAUACAUCUGACCGUCGGCGGAAUUCAAUCGUAAAAAGAGCCGCCGUCGUUAUAUGAGUAUAUGAUUGCGCAUUAAAGCAAUAAAUCUUAGUUCCCGAAACUAUUCGAAAUUCGCAUUUACGUAUUGUACUGAAAGGAAGAUGACCGAUGACAGGUGACGCAGCGUUAAACCUGCUCAAGUUCAAUUUUUUUUUUCACGGAAGUGAUCUGUACGGUAUCGUCUAGGAAUGAAAGUCGUAUAGUCAUUGUACGUCAUUUGCAUACAGGAAUCCUUACGUAUUCUACGUCUGUAUAUCUGCGGCGAGAAGACUGAAUUAGUCAGGUUUUGACAGGCAGCGAGAAAUACGUGUAAAGUGCAUGAAUUUCGUGAAAAAAAUAUUUUUUUUCACGAAUUUCUGCAUAAACGCUUAUUGACAAUAGCAGUCGGUGAUCGGAGUGCUGAUUUUCGCGAUGAAUUGUUUUCUUUUUAAAACGAUCUCCGCCCAUCAAUUCUAAGAGCCAUUAAGAUUAGCUCCACAUUUAAAUACAUGUAUACCGGCUCUCUCGAGAUACAUAAUACUCGGAAACUUUCGGAAUAUCAAAAUACAUCUGCAGCGCACGAGUGUAGCGCAAAGUCGCAUUACCCGUCGAAACGUGCGUAUCCUUCGGUGACCUCUUCCUCCUCAUGUUUUUCAUUUUCGUCGCGUGCUCUAAUGUGCGUGUUAGCCGAACAAAGAAAAAAUUGCGAUGCCGACCUCCAGCCAAACGAUUGCAAAAUUGCCGCGAAACUCGCGUUACCUAGUGUUCGAAUUAACAGUAUAUGGCUCAGCUUCAAAACGAGGUAUUGUAAAAUUAAGAGACGAUCAAUCGAUGUUGCUAUGCAUGUCAUUUGCGUCUGACUUUACCCAUCUGUGUCUACUGCGAUCGUAAUCGCUGAUAGGCGGAAGCGACGUCCAGAAAUAACCAAACAGCAACAGAGAGAGAGAGAGAGAGAGAGAGAGAGAGAGAGAGAGAGAGAGAGAGAGAGAGAGAGAGAGAGAGAGAGAGAGAGAGAGAGCAAAAACAAACAAACGAUUGGACGAAGUUUACAUUUUAAAUUAAGUGUAUCAGAUCACAUUUAUCUUGGUCGGACGUGUACUGUUCCAGAUCUACAGACAUCCGGAAAAAUAAAGAAUUAGCAAGCAAGUUGCGUAUAUGAUGGAACUACGAGUAUACGCGAAGGAGACAACUUCGCUGCCGUUGAGUCAUGGAUUCGCACAAGACGCUAAAGAGUGGCUUAUGUGGUGGUGGACCGCAAAAGAAACAGCGAAGCGAGCAAAGCAGCAGCAUUUCGUGAAUUUCCACUACUAUGGAUCUUACAGCGUGAGCAGCCCAAGCAGCAGGGCCAACAAGGCUGAUUUGGCAUAGGCAGCACACCACUAUAUCUAGACUCGAAGCGCAAACUCUGAUAAGAGAAAGGAAAAAGUGCCUAUACGACACCUAGCGUCGCUCGUCAGAAAGUUAAAGAUGAGUAAGAAGUAGACUAUAUUAUAAAGCCAGUCCAAAACUGUUCUCCAUAUACUUAACGAUCACUAAAAGCUCGAUAAAUUCCUAUACAUGUCUAUUUUUAAAUUAUCGACUAUCAUAGAUUCAUACUUGUCAAUGUGCAUUGUGCAGAUUGAGCGGAUGUCUAGAUAGUUUGGGAUACCUAUAUGACACUUUGGGCGGUCUGCAAGGAAAAAUUAUUUCAAAAUUUUGAAAAAAAAAAACUUGAAUUAGAACAAAAUGCAAUUUUGAUCCAAGUGCAAAUCGAAUAAUUUGCAUUUUUUCCAAGUGCACCAUACAAUAACAUGUAUUUCAUCUUCGCAACCCGUUUGGAGAGAGUCGUCCCCGCGUGUCUACAUGUUUUGAAAAAUAAUCGGCCUUAAGUGGUUUCAAAUGUAUAUGUUAAUGAAAUCUGCCAAACAAUUGUAGAAUAUGUACAAUAACAUUUAAUAAACUAAAAUAGAAAUGACAAUAUAUUAUAAACCAAUA